rnacentral:tRNA from 1 species
GACCGCGUAGCUCAGUUGGCAGAGCAUUGGGCUAGUAUCCCAAAGGUCGUAAGUUCGAAUCCCACCGUGGCCA